AGCCAUUUGACUGGUGUUUGGUUGAUAAAUUGUUAACUAAUUGUAUAGAUACGCACUAUCUUAGUUUGGUGAAAUUGAUUUAUAUUUAAUUUUUACAGGGUUCUCUCUCAUAUUCUUAAUUAAUCUGGUGGUGGAUAAUGGCCUACUGGUAUUUUGGUUUUAUGCCUGUGGGAUAUGGCAAGAGAUGAUGGUCUCAUGGAGCAUUGAUUUUACUUGAUGAGAAGAUUUCAGUAGAACAUUGCUCUGCCAUGCCUGCAACAUCCUAAUGGACAUGUGGCUAGAACAGGGCAGCGCAUAUCGUCUCCCGGAUUAGAACAGGCAUGGGUUCACAAGUAUGGCGGGAUGUGCUUGGGGCAGCGGAGGGAGGCGGGCCACUAAGGGGGCUGACAGCGGCAGCCAUGCCGGAGUGGCAAUGGCAGAGUAGCCAAGAUGCAGCAGUCGAGGUAAUAAAUUUCAGGCUUCUGUAUCAUCCUCCCUGGCUUCCUCCUGAAUAACCACCCGACCGAUUUGGUUGUUCAUUUCCAUGACUGCACACCCUGUUUGCGAUCCACAUUGGCAUCUGUCAAAAAGUUUAAGCUCUUGAGCAAUGUAUGUGGUUUUGAAUAUACACUUGGUAGUCCACACAUAUUUAAAUCAUCUGGGAAUGAUGGGUUAUACUUCCUCAUUAAGCUUGCAUAAUGUUAGGAUAGGCAUCCACAAGAAAGCACCAUGAGCUCUAACUAAAAUCAACACUAAAAUAUGUAGGUAUUCCGAGAACUGAUUUACAUGACUUAUUUUUCCCUUUGUUGGAGAUCUGCUCUUAUUAUUUUAUGUAUAUUCUAUUGAUAAUUCUGUCUACUAAAAAGGUGGGUACUCGUUAAGCAUGUCGUGGCGGAGUGUGUUCGUCCUAAAUUACGAAUAACCAUAUAAAAUGUGUGACCCCGUCAGUUAUCAUCAUGACACAUGCCUUGAUCCUUCAAGAUUUCCCAUUUCUCUUUCCAUGAGAAUGCAUUAUAGAAAUGGCACAUUGAUUGAUUCAUUUUCUAAUGCAGUACCACAUUUAUACACAAGGAGAAGUCCUUAAUUUGACACACAAGAAGGUUAAGAAGACCUGCAAAUUACGAUUGCACCAGUGAUUCAUGGAUCAUAAACAUUCAGAUUCAGGCAUUACAUCCUUGGAUGCCGAGGGAGCAGAUGACCACCAGAGGAAGUAAAAAGGAAAAAUGGGAGUGUAGCUGGCAAGUUACAUCCUUGCUUUUUUUUUUGAAUGUAUCGAUGAUGUAUUGUGUCAAGUCUUAACGUGUCCGAUACCAAGUUUUUUAUUAUACAAUAUAUUGGUCACAACUUGUCAACUUGCACAUGAUCAGUGUGUAUUUUUUUAUUACAUUUUAUACAUUUUUACUCUGAAUUAUCUGUCAUCUACCUCA